UGAAACGCUGAAACGCACGUCGAGUUUAUUUUGAUUUAUUUACUUCACUUUUUGGUAGCACUUAUGGAUUAGUUUAUUGAUCUUUUUUUAGCUACUAGGACAGGAAGGGAUUUAGGUUUGGGUAGGCACUAGUGAUUGUCUCACAGUGCCGAGGUAAUUAGGGUCAGCUUACUAUUUUUAGUAGCUAUUUGCCUUGAUACAGCAUAUAGCUCUG